CGGUAAUUCCAGCUCCAAUAGCGUAUAGUAAAGUUGCUGCAGUUAAGAAGCUCGUAGUUGGAUUUCUGCUGGGGACAACUGGUCUGCCUACUGGGUAAGUAUUUGUGUGCCUCAAGCAUGUGCUUGGACGGCACUUCUGCACUUGACUGUGUGGUGUGAUCUCCAAUGUUGUUACUUUGAGGAAAUCAGAGUGCGCCCAUCAUGCACAUGUUUUGAAUACAUUAGCAUGGAAUAAUAAGAUGAGACUUCGGUUUUAUUUUGUUGGCUGUUAAAAGUGAAGUAAUGAUUGGCAGGGAUAGUUAGGGGCAUGUGUAUUCAACUGUCGGAGGUGAAAGUCUUGGAGUUGCUAAAGACAAACAACUGCGACUGCAUUUGCCAAUGACGUGUUUGUUCAAGCACGAAAGUUAGGGGAUCGAAGACGAUCCGAUACCGCCAUAGUCUUAACUAUAAACUAUGCAAACCAGAGAUUGGAGGUUGUUAUGUGUACGACUCCUUCAGCACCUUAUGCGAAAACAAAGUCGUUGGGUUCCGGGGGGGAGUAUGGUCGCAAGGCUGAAACUUACAGGAAAUGACGGAAGGGCACCACCAGGAGUGGAGCCUGCGGCUUAAUUUGACUCAACACGGGGAAACUUACCAGGUCCAGACAUAGUAAGGAUUGACAGAUUGACAGCUCUUUCUUGAUUCUGUGGGUGGUGGCGCAUGGCCGUUCUUAGUUGGUGGAGUGAUUUGUCUGGUUAAUUCCGUUAACGAACGAGACCUUAACCUGCAAAAUAGUUACAUGUAACUCUGGUUAUGUGGGCAACUUCUUAGAGGGACUUUGUGUGUCUAGCACAAUGAAGUUUGAUGCAAGAACAGGUCUGUGAUGCCCUUAGAUGUUCUGGGCUGCACGCGCGCUACACUGCUGUGCUCAGCAAGCAUUUCAGUUGCUUGGAAAGGCAGGGCAAUGUUUAAACAUGCGUCGUGAUGGGGAUUGAUUAUUGCAAUUAUUGAGCUUGAACGAGGAAUUCCUAGUGAGCUCGAGUCAUCAGCUCGUGCUGAUUACGCCCCUGCCCUUUGUACACACCGCCC
rnacentral:rRNA from 1 species